AAUGAACGUUGGCGGCGUGGAUUAGGCAUGCAAGUCGAGCGAGAACCCCGCAAGGGGGGACAGCGGCGAAAGGGACAGUAAUGUGUAGAUUAUCUGCCCUCAGGUCCGGGAUAGCUGCGGGAAACUGCAGGUAAUACCGGAUAACAUCUCCGGAUCAAAGGUGUGAUUCCGCCUGAGGAUGAGUCUGCAUCCUAUUAGCUAGUUGGUGGGGUAAUGGCCUACCAAGGCAUUGAUGGGUAGCAGGUGUGAGAGCACGACCUGCGUCAUUGGGACUGAGACACUGCCCAGACACCUACGGGUGGCUGCAGUCGAGAAUCUGCGGCAAUGGGCGCAAGCCUGACCGAGCGACGCCGCGUGUGGGAUGAAGGCCUUCGGGUUGUAAACCACUGUCAGAGGGGAUGAAAUGCAGGUGGGUUCUCCCAUCUGUUUGACAUAGCCUCAGAGGAAGGACGGGCUAAGUUCGUG
rnacentral:rRNA from 1 species